rnacentral:SRP_RNA from 1 species
GCCAGGCGUGGUGGCACAUGCCUGUAAUCCCAGCUACUCGGGAGGCUGAGGCAGGAGAAUUGCUUGAGCCCGGGAAGCGGAGGUUGCAGUGAGCUGAGAUCGCACCACUGCACUCCAGCCUGGGCGACAGAGCAAGACUCUGUCUCAA